GCUGAGGCGGCAUUGGGCAUGGAGCAUCCGAGGGUCCAAGGGUUCUUCUCAGCCACCGUCAACAACCCCAGCUGCUACCAAGAUGAGGAAACUGCCGCUCAGAGACGGCAGCCGACCCAGCCAAGGCCGCACAGCCAGGAUUCAAAGCCAUACCGCUCAGCUCCUGCCUCCAGGCUCUGCCUUUGCAUGUGGCUUCUCCUGGCUCCUGGACCCUUCCCCGGCCCUCCCAGCUGGCUGUGCUGUGACAGUGGGCGGGGGAGUGCCAAGGCUCUGCCCUGCCCCCCGCCCUUGGCAUCUCCGGUCAAUAUGGCACUCACAGCUCCCUGGGCAUGGACCCCCUCCUGCCAUCCCCACUUAAAGUGAUACUUUAAUAAAUUAUGC
rnacentral:lncRNA from 1 species